UGGGGAAUAUUGCACAAUGGGGGAAACCCUGAUGCAGCGACGCCGCGUGAGCGAAGAAGGUAUUCGAAUCGUAAAGCUCUGUCCUAUGGGAAGAUAAUGACGGUACCAUAGGAGGAAGCCCCGGCUAACUACGUGCCAGCAGCCGCGGUAAUACGUAGGGGGCAAGCGUUGUCCGGAAUCACUGGGCGUAAAGGGUUCGCAGGCGGAAAUGCAAGUCAGUUGUGAAAGGCAGAGGCUCAACCUCUGUAAGCAAUUGAAACUGUAUUUCUUGAGAUGUGGAGAGGCAAGUGGAAUUCCUAGUGUAGCGGUGAAAUGCGUAGAUAUUAGGAAGAAUACCGGUGGCGAAGGCGACUUGCUGGACACAAACUGACGCUGAGGAACGAAAGCGUGGGUAGCAAACAGG
rnacentral:rRNA from 1 species